rnacentral:rRNA from 1 species
CCUACGGGACGCACCAGUAGGGAAUCUUCGGCAAUGGACGAAAGUCUGACCGAGCAACGCCGCGUGAGUGAAGAAGGUUUUCGGAUCGUAAAACUCUGUUGUUAGAGAAGAACAAGUAAGAGGGUAACUGCUCUUACCUUGACGGUAUCUAACCAGAAAGCUACGGCUAACUACGUGCCAGCAGCCGCGGUAAUACGUAGGUGGCAAGCGUUGUCCGGAUUUAUUGGGCGUAAAGCGAGCGCAGGCGGUCUUUUAAGUCUGAUGUGAAAGCCCUCGGCUCAACCGAGGAAGGUCAUUGGAAACUGGAGGACUUGAGUGCAGAAGAGGAGAGUGGAAUUCCAUGUGUAGCGGUGAAAUGCGUAGAUAUAUGGAGGAGCACCAGUGGCGAAGGCGACUCUCUGGUCUGUAACUGACGCUGAGGCUCGAAAGCGUGGGGAGCAAACAGGAUUAGAUACCCCCGUAGUC